rnacentral:rRNA from 1 species
AGAGUUUGAUCCUGGCUCAGGAUGAACGCUAGCGGCAGGCUUAACACAUGCAAGUCGAGGGGUAACGAUGUCCUCGGACAGGCGACGACCGGCGCACGGGUGCGUAACGCGUAUGCAACCUACCUUUAACUGGAGGAUAGCCCCGAGAAAUCGGGAUUAAUACUCCAUAACAAUGAGAUUUGGCAUCAUUUUUCAUUUAAAGUUCCGGCGGUUAAAGAUGGGCAUGCGUGACAUUAGCUGGUUGGUAAGGUAACGGCUUACCAAGGCAACGAUGUCUAGGGGUUCUGAGAGGAUGAUCCCCCACACUGGUACUGAGACACGGACCAGACUCCUACGGGAGGCAGCAGUGAGGAAUAUUGGUCAAUGGACGCAAGUCUGAACCAGCCAUGCCGCGUGCAGGAUGACGGCCCUAUGGGUUGUAAACUGCUUUUAUUAAGGAAUAAACUCUCGUUCGUGAACGAGACUGAACGUACUUAAAGAAUAAGCAUCGGCUAACUCCGUGCCAGCAGCCGCGGUAAUACGGAGGAUGCAAGCGUUAUCCGGAUUCAUUGGGUUUAGAGGGUUCGCAGGCGGCGUAUUAAGUCAGUGGUGAAAUCCCCCGGCUCAACCGGGGAACUGCCAUUGAUACUGGUAUGCUAGAGUAUAGUUGGCGUAGGCGGAAUAUUUCAUGUAGCGGUGAAAUGCUUAGAUAUGAAAUAGAACACCGAUCGCGAAGGCAGCUUACGAAGCUAUAACUGACGCUCAGGAACGAAAGCGUGGGGAGCGAACAGGAUUAGAUACCCUGGUAGUCCACGC